GAGGAGUGGGUCCGGAAGCGGCGCCGGAGCGGGUCCGGAAGCGGGCGGUGGAGAAGUCCAGUUGCCCCAAAAUUCUUAGGGUGAGCGAACCGAGUUUCUGGCGGGGUGGGUGGUCCCGCGGCCCACCAAGGGAACGUCUCCGCAGCCUCGCCUCGGCGACAGCUCCUGGCUCCUUAGGUGUCUUCCGCCUCACUAGUUAGGAUGCGCGGUCUUCAGACUUGAGACAAAUCUAACCAUAAAUUUGCGCGGCCGUUAUUUUUUAAGCAAAAAUGUGAGCUAUUUUUACCCAGACAUCAUAGUUACGAGAGUGACGAAGACUCUGGCAGGAAACCAAAUAUCACCUGUUUUCCUCAAAAAGCAGCAGAAGAGUGACAAGUGAAAAAAGUUCCUAGCGGGAGACGUGCUUGGAACCGGAGAUAAUCUGUGUCUACCGCUGGUCUUCAAGGUGCUUAAUUUCGUGCCCGCUCUACAGGAAAUAACGUGCGCGGCGGAGGAGCCCUGUCCUGGAGAAUAACGCGUGAAGAAGACAGUGGACUGGGCAUUUCGUCCAGAUGAAUGAGCAUGGUAGUUAAGUGUAGAAGAUGCAGGUGCAGAGUGAAU
rnacentral:lncRNA from 10 species